rnacentral:tRNA from 1 species
UGAUGUAAUGGAAAACAUGCUAGAUUUGGAAUCUGAAGUCCUGGGUUCAAAUCCUAG